rnacentral:lncRNA from 1 species
AUAACUCCUUGAGCUGAAAAAUUCUCAUCUUUUUUGUAGAGGACAGGCUGCGCAGAGACAAAUAGGAACAACAUGUCGCCAAUGGACCUAUACGGGCAGUCACACACACACAAAAGUUCAAGGCAGUGGCAAGACAGAGCAGACACAGUCAGACAACAGGACAGGACCGGCUCUCUUGUGCAACUGCUGCAACUGCGAAAGAUUUUAGAGAAAGAAUAAACUUCUUACCGAGCAGAAUAUACAUCUCCUGGCUUUCCAUUGCCUUCAAUAACAGGGUAAUGCAGGGGUC